GUUUUUAUAAAACACAUGUAAAGAAGAAUGUUUAAAUUUAUUGCAAGAAUUUGGAAAAUUAUUAGAAAAGAAAUCAGUUUCUUGUAAAUUUUAAAAUAUUGCAUUGAUUUUAAUAACAUUAAUGCAAUUGUGAAAUAGAAAUAGAUAAUCUUAAAGAUGAUAUUAAAGAAAUUCUUAAUAACAUGCAAAGUAAACAAUAUAAUUAAAAUAUAACUUUCUUAAAAUAUGCUGUGGAACAAAAGCUGCUUCAAAUGCAAAAUUCUAUAGUUGUGACAACAAAUUCUGGCACACCUGAUCAUUAACUACGUGAUGCCUUCAGACUACAAAAAAAAUAUUUUUUAAAAAGACAUGCUCUACAAAAACGAGAGACAAAGUAAAUUAAUUCUGUGUUUAAUCAUAAUGUUGAGAUUUCGGUCUUUUUAAAUAUAUGCAAUCAAACAUUUUCUAUAAAAAAUAAUUGAAUUUAAUCAUCGUUCUCAAUAUAAAAAUGUUUGUUCGUAUUAGACAAACGGACCAUUUCAUUACAAUUUCUAUACCAUUCAAUACAUUUUGAAUGUGUAUUUUCGAAAUAGCUAAGAAAAAGCUAUUUUUCAGUAAUCAACAAUAAAAAUAUAUCUGACGAGAUAAAUAACUAUAUGUAUAAAAGAAACAAACUGAAAUUUUUAAUAAUGUAUUUAUAUGUAUAAUAUUUUAAUUUACACUUAAUGCUUCCGUUGCUGUAAAAUACAUUUAUUGAAUUAAAAUAUUUUUUUAAUAACAAAAUAUUUUAAAAUGAUAUUUUAUAAUUUAACUGCCUUAUUCCAAAACGAUUAUUGAAGUUAACAAUUUUUUACAACACACUUUUUCCAUAAAAACAGGUUUUAAUAACCAUUGUUAACUUUAAUAAUCGUUUUCGGAUAAGGCAGUUAAUAUUUAAUAAUUUACACUAAUUUAAUGAAUUAAAAAUGAAAUCCAGUAUUUUUUAUAUAUUAAAGACCAGAAGUUUAUAAUAUAUAAUUAUUGUUUGGAGUACCUAAAAAAGUAAUGUUAAAUAAUUAUCGUAUAAAUAAAAAAUAGUAUUAUUUAAUUUGAUUUUACUCUAAUUUUGUUUUACCAAUUUAUAAACAUGUAUUAUGUAUGUAUGUGUACAGUAAAAAACUAAGUGCGACAGUUUUAUUGCAGCUAGGUACUGUUGUGAUCAGACGAUAGAUUGCUUACAAUAAACCAGUUAAUUGACUACACCUACAUAUAGUCAACACGUAUGUCCCAUAAAAAUAGUUAACUACUUGUAACAUACUAUUCGACUCUCAC